AUGGCAGCGAUCACGGGGAGGCGCGGGAACGCGACGAGGGAGAACGCGGACAAGCUACAGAGUGCACGGGGCAGCAGGAGCCAAUGGAAGGGCAGAGGAAGAGGCCGGGCGCCAUUAAUGCGCUGUCGGCCACAGUGCUCCCGUGGGCGAGCGGCGACGGGGAGGCUUCUGGAGGGGGAGAUGAGUCCAGGGGGACGGCGACGACGCGGGCCAGCUGGUGGACACGCUCAUGAGCGAGAAGACGGCGAGAGGGGGAGGGGCCCGAGCAAGAAUCCAUUCAGCUCGCGUCCAUGGCAUGCCAGGGAGGUGGUCACCGCGCGCACUGGUGCACACAGUGCCACAAACGAUGCCAAACAAUGUCUUGGGGUUAGUCCUUCCUGGGUAGGUCACAACUGCGGUGGUAGUUUGGUUAAAAGCGCUCUCGUUAAAUGGUAA
rnacentral:rRNA from 1 species